rnacentral:rRNA from 1 species
UACGAAGGGUGCAAGCGUUAAUCGGAAUUACUGGGCGUAAAGCGCGUGUAGGCGGUUGCCAAAGUCGGGUGUGAAAGCCUUGAGCUUAACUCAAGAAAUGCACUCGAUACUUGGUGACUAGAGGACCGGAGAGGAUAGUGGAAUUCCCAGUGUAGUGGUGAAAUACGUAGAGAUUGGGAAGAACACCAGUGGCGAAGGCGGCUAUCUGGACGGUUUCUGACGCUAAGACGCGAAAGCGUGGGGAGCAAACAGG